rnacentral:lncRNA from 1 species
AAGACGUGAGGCGCCGGAGGGCACAAACCUCUCCAGCCCUGUGGUCGAUCGGUGUUGGCACGGUGCAAUACAGGAAGUCAGGAAUACAUAUCAUAAAUGUACCCAUGUUUGCACUUUGCAACGGUAAGUAUACCGGCGCCUGGGCAAGCAAGAAGUGUCCGGUGGUCGGCUCGGGUAGACGGCCGAUCGGGCAUCAUGGAUAUUAUGUUACUAACACAUACGUAGAUCAGAUCAAUCACGAGGCCCGACCAGCCACCGUCCAUGGCACUAGACUUGGAGACAUGGCAUGCCAUGCCCGCC